rnacentral:tRNA from 1 species
GCCAAUAUGGCUCAGUUGGUCAGAGCGUCGUCCAGUGCACCAAAAGGUCACAGGUUCAAUUCCUGAUCAGGGCA